AUACGGCCAUAUCACGCUGAAACAUUGGUUCCCGUACGAUCACCUAAGUUAAUCAACGUCGAGCCUGGUUAUUACCAAAAUGAGUGACCAUCUGGGAAUAUCAGAUGCUGUAA